GGGACAAGAAAUUGAACCGGCAGUCCUGUUUGGUCUUCAGUUGGCAAUGUAUGCCAAGCAGUCCAUUUGAAAUGAAAUUGGUUUCCAGAAGGGAGGUUGGGAGUAGAAGUUGCCUACUUUUUUAUUUUUUUUAGAUAGGGUUUCACUCUUGGAAGUUCCCAGGCUAAGGGUUCUAAUUAAUUCGGAGCUGCAGUUGUCGGCCUAUGCCACAGCCACAUGGGAUCUGAGCCAAGUCACUGAGCAAGGCCAGAGAUCAAACCCACAUCCUCAUGGGUCAUGGGUCACAGUGGAAACUCCAAAGUUGCCUACUUUAAAUAAGGUGUAGGUGAACUCUGAUAAUUUGGAGAGGGCUAAGAACUGAAUAUUUGAAAACAGAUUGAAAAUCUUAGAUUAAAAAAUCUUAAAUAGAUUUAAAAUCUUUUAAAGUAAGCUUCUUUUAGGAUGCUGGAAGCUUGGGUGGAAGACUUGGAGUAGUCAGGUAAGGAAGGUUUUAAUUUUUUUUUUUUCUUUUUUUUAAUUCAUCUGCCCUACCACACCUACUCUGGCCAGCUAUGUCUUCUAGGAAGAUAAAUUUUGUUUUUCAGUACCAGUCUGCCAAACAUUGUCCAGGGCCUUUUUCUUCUGUAAUGCUUAUCACUCACUUAAGGUGAGUAUCUCUAUUAAAAGAGGGCAGAAAAAAGUUCCUAAUAUCACUCCUUAUGCUGCUAAACAAGUACACAAUUUCCGACUUAGGAUGAUUCAACUCGUGGGGUUUUUUUUGUUUGUUUUGACCUAAUAAUGGUGUGAAAGCAACUCUGGAAACCAAUUUUUUUUUUCUUUUUUAGGGUCACACCUGCAGCAUGUGGAAGUUCCAGGUUGGGGAUUGAAUUGGAGCUGCCAGCCUACACACCACAGCCACAGCAAUGCAGUAUCCCACCCACAUCUGCAACCUAUGCUGCACUUUGUGGCAGUGUGGACCCUUAACCCACUGAGUGAGGUCAGAGAUCAAACCUGCAUCCUCAUGGAUAGUAGUUAGCUCCUUAACCCACUCGGCCACAAUGGGAACUCCAGAAACUUUCAAUUUUGAUCUUUUCCUUGGCUAGUGGCGGGCAGCACAAAACUCUUGGUGCUUGGGCAGGGGCAACAAGCUAAGGCAUGGCUCCCAGGCAGCCAUGCAAUCACAAGAGUAAACUAGUAUACUUCUUCUGGACCUAACUAUUCUGCUUUUCACUCUGUAUUCAGUAAAUUACAUGAGAUAUUCAACAUUUUGUUGGAUAGUUUUGCCCAGCUGUAGGUUAAUCUAAGUGUUCUGAGCAUAUUUAAGGCAAGCUAGGCUAAGCUUAAUGUUGGGUAGUGUUAGGUGUAGUAUAGUGUUUUUAACUUAAGAUAUUUUCAAUUUAUGACUGGUAUAUCAAGGUGUAAGCUGAGGAAGAUCUGAGAACAUACUUGUCUCCAAAGCCUUUGUUUUCUGUUCUGCAUUUUUAUAACCCAAUCAUAAGGUACCAUUUCAUUGUCACUUAAUGACAGGAUUUAGUUGUCUCUAGUUCUAAAACAUGCUCAUGGUAAAAAGUGUAAAUUGUAUGUAUACUGGGAAAUAAUUAUUUCUUCCUUUCUUGAGGUAACGUGUUGAAUUUUUGUUUUCUAGAAAGUUAGGCAUACUGUAAUGAGCAGGUAUUUAUACAGCUAGAAAUAAAUGGAAGUCAUGUGUCCUUUAGCUUUUCUCUUAUUACAUAUCUGAAGCAUGCACUUCUGAGAUGUUAUGUUCUACUGAAAUCCACAUGUCAUCAUCUGGGCAGGUACCACUUGUUAAGUAGUCAAGAUAUUUCUUGGCAAAGGCCUACCUGGCUUUAUCCUGAUGCUUAGUGAUGCUUAAUUUAAUGUGACUUAAAAUGUCAUUGUCAAGGAGGACAAAGCUGUGCUAAUGUGAACGGGUUGAUAACAAGUGUCCUUGUUCACUGUUAACCUUGAGUCAUGGGCAGCCUUCAAACCCGUGACUCGUUGCUAUGGCUAUUCCAGUUUCCUGGUCUUGACAUCACCCCAGUUUUAACCCUUUGGGGAACGUGAUAGCAGCACUACUGAGUAUUACAUUUUACAUAAGGACUGGUACACACCGAACUUUUAACAUUUAUGUUUGAUGGGGUUUUUUUAGUUAACUUUUUCAACUAUUUUUCCCAACUAUUUUUCCUUUUUCCCCAAAUGGACUCUGUUAUGGUGAACACCUAAGAAUUCUAUGGUCAGACAGAGAUUCAUGAAAGCACCUACCUCCUCUGGUUUCAAAACCAGUGGCUGUAGUUAGGAGUCUGCAGCAUUUCUUAGUUGCUGGAGGGGGGGAAAAUGGUCUAAAUUAAAUGGGAAUAUUUGAGUGGUCACUUAAAUUUAAGCUGUUGAACUGCCUUCAGCAGCUGCAGUCUGUUAACUUGGAUGAAUGCUCCAUUCCUUUCCUCAAAAGAUUUGGAAUAAUUCUAAGGUGAGUGGGAGAGUUUAUAAGUGCAUCAUCUAGACUGGUUUCUGUGUCACCUAGCAGCCGGAUGUGAUUGUUUUCAUCAGAAAAUGCUUCCUUACUCCUUAAGUUCACGGUGCUUGUGUUGGGGAUAUCCCUUGAGCAAGGUAUGGGACAGAAAAGGUAGACACCAGGCUGGGAACUAAAACUGAAUUACCAUGUUCUGAGCACACAUGUGGUGCUUUUUCUCAUCAGCUCUGAUGUUGGGGUUAUCUCAUUUACUGAAGAAGCUCAGACAGGGAAAGUGAUCUCAACCCUCAUAACCCCUUGGGCCCCCUUUUUGUAAAGAAAAUUUUGUAAUGAUCUCUGACUAUUCUGAAAUGAAAUCUUUUUUUUUCCCCUUUUUAAUGGCCACGCCUGUGGCACACAGUUCCUAGGCCAGGGAUUGAAUCUGAGUUGCAGCUGUGACAAGUGGGAUCCUUUAACCCACCACACGGGGCUGGGUACCGAACCUGCACUUCUACCGUGACCUGAGUCAUUGCAGUUGGAUUUUUAACCCACUGCUCUAGAGCGGGAACUCCAUUUUUUAUGUUAAUUAUUUUUAAAAAAAUCAAGAUGAAGAGCUCCCUGGUGGCCUAGCAUUAAGGAUCUGUCUGGCAUUGUCACUGCUUUUAUAAAGUAGUAUGUAUUUCUGUUAGGGAUGACUGCUAAGAGACAAGUCAGAUGCUUGUACCCACCUGAAGCCAUUCCAUACCUGUCCUAUAAAAAAGUGAAGGCACAUGUAGACAAUAAAAACUGGAGCCAGGAAGUAAUGAUAGACCAGUAAUUAUGAUAGGAGAGAGACGGAAAGAAGCUUAAAUGAAGUAGGGAUAACAUGCCAAGAUUGCUGAAUGGGAGAAAUGAGGAAGUAUAAUUUCACAAAUGAGCUGGGCCUUAAAACUGUAAUGGCAAAAAUAACUCACAACGUGGGGCAGGGGUGGGGAGUAAAAACUAUCCCAUGGGGUUAUGAAGGUUUAAGUGAAUUAAUACCCAAAAUGUGCUCGAAACACUUCUUGGCACCUAAAACAUUGUUCAAGUAUUAAAUAGUAUAUAUCUUUUGAUAGAAGAGUAACAGGUAAAACAGUAGUCCAAAUGCACAGGGGUAGAUUACUAAAUUACUUUAGAUAAUGUUUUUGUUCCAUUUAAUCAUUUAAUGGCUUUAUGCAGGCACAUCCAUGGCAUGCAUAGAUUACUGGGCGAGAGAUCCAGCCCAUAACAUAGCAGUGAUAUAGCCGGAUCUUUAACCUCUAGGCCGCCAGGGAACUCCUGCAGGCACUUUUAAUAUUUUUUUACCUGUAGUUGGUUCAGUCCUGUGGACAUGGGCAAUUCUUUGUGUGCCAGGCAUCGUAUCUUCAUCCCCUUCCCCUAAAGUCAGUUAUGUUCCCCGGCAGUGUGACCAUCACUGAAAAAAAACAAAACAAAAAAAUCCUGGUUGCUCAGUGGGUUAGAGAUCCAGCGUUGUCACUGCUGUGGCUCUGGUCACAGCUGUG
ensembl:lncRNA